AUUGAACGCUGGCGGCAUGCCUUACACAUGCAAGUCGAACGGUAACGCGGGGCAACCUGGCGACGAGUGGCGAACGGGUGAGUAAUGUAUCGGAACGUGCCCAGUUGUGGGGGAUAACUGCUCGAAAGAGCAGCUAAUACCGCAUACGACCUGAGGGUGAAAGCGGGGGAUCGCAAGACCUCGCGCAAUUGGAGCGGCCGAUAUCAGAUUAGGUAGUUGGUGGGGUAAAGGCCUACCAAGGCAACGAUCUGUAGCUGGUCUGAGAGGAUGAUCAGCCACACUGGGACUGAGACACGGCCCAGACUCCUACGGGAGGCAGCAGUGGGGAAUUGUGGACAAUGGGGGCAACCCUGAUCCAGCCAUUCCGCGUGAGUGAAGAAGGCCUUCGGGUUGUAAAGCUCUUUCGGCAGGAACGAAACGGCGAGCUCUAACAUAGCUUGCUAAUGACGGUACCUGAAGAAGAAGCACCGGCUAACUACGUGCCAGCCGCCGCUGUAAUAC
rnacentral:rRNA from 1 species